rnacentral:piRNA from 1 species
CCGGCUGCGAGAAGUGGAGGGCCUGGAGGA